GGCAUGGUUUGCUUGAUUGCAGCUGUGCAAAACCCAAGAUUCUUCGUUUGUUCGUUGCUUCUAAGGAUUUAGCUGUGAGCCCAUAAUUUUUUUUCCUCGGUUAAAGCAGGAGAAAGAGGCCUAAUGGAGACAGAAAAUGGAGAUGGCCAAUCCCGGUUGGAAGAAUAUGAAGUAAUGGAGCAGACUGGCAGAGGAGCUUUUGGAGCAGCAUUUCUUGUUUUGCAUAAAAUUGAGAAAAAGAAGUAAGAAUCUCUUAAACCCCAGUUUUCCCAUGUGGGUUGUGCCUAAGUGUGCGUGUUCUUGUGAAUUUGUGUGUCUAUAUAUUCUUUUUAAUUUAUGGGCUCUGUUUAUUGGGUUAUUCUGCACAUAUUGGUGUAUUUAAUGAAAAGCGGAUAAAUAUUCAUAAU